rnacentral:rRNA from 1 species
GAUGAACGCUGGCGGCGUGCCUAAUACAUGCAAGUCGAGCGAACGGACGAGAAGCUUGCUUCCCUGAUGUUAGCGGCGGACGGGUGAGUAACACGUGGAUAACCUACUUAUAAGACUGGGAUAACUUCGGGAAACCGGAGCUAAUACCGGAUAAUAUUUUGAACCGCAUGGUUCAAAAGUGAAAGACGGUCUUGCUGUCACUUAUAGAUGGAUCCGCGCUGCAUUAGCUAGUUGGUAAGGUAACGGCUUACCAAGGCAACGAUGCAUAGCCGACCUGAGAGGGUGAUCGGCCACACUGGAACUGAGACACGGUCCAGACUCCUACGGGAGGCAGCAGUAGGGAAUCUUCCGCAAUGGGCGAAAGCCUGACGGAGCAACGCCGCGUGAGUGAUGAAGGUCUUCGGAUCGUAAAACUCUGUUAUUAGGGAAGAACAUAUGUGUAAGUAACUGUGCACAUCUUGACGGUACCUAAUCAGAAAGCCACGGCUAACUACGUG